UAUACAGUUUUCCACAGAGAGAGAGAGAGAGGGUCGAACACGAUGAAUAUAUAUACGAAACAAUAUAUUGCAUACUUAUACCCACGUUUUUUCUAAUUUCUCAUCCAAUUUUUUCAUCUUUUGUUUAUUUUCCACACAAUGAAAAUGAUAAACGAAAAAACG
rnacentral:ribozyme from 1 species